rnacentral:rRNA from 1 species
GACGAACGCUGGCGGCGUGCUUAACACAUGCAAGUCGAACGCUGAAGCUCAGCUUGCUGGGUGGAUGAGUGGCGAACGGGUGAGUAACACGUGAGUAACCUGCCCUCUUCUUUGGGAUAACGCCCGGAAACGGGUGCUAAUACUGGAUAUUCACUGAUUCUCGCAUGGGGGUUGGUGGAAAGGUUUUUUCUGGUGGGGGAUGGGCUCGCGGCCUAUCAGCUUGUUGGUGGGGUGAUGGCCUACCAAGGCUUUGACGGGUAGCCGGCCUGAGAGGGUGACCGGUCACAUUGGGACUGAGAUACGGCCCAGACUCCUACGGGAGGCAGCAGUGGGGAAUAUUGCACAAUGGGCGAAAGCCUGAUGCAGCGACGCCGUGUGAGGGAUGGAGGCCUUCGGGUUGUAAACCUCUUUCGCUCAUGGUCAAGCCGCAGCUUUGGGUUGUGGUGAGGGUAGUGGGUAAAGAAACGCCGGCUAACUACGUG